GCCUCAGAGAUCUUGGUGGAUAAAUAAUCAUCACAUGGGUGAUCCCAUCAAGAGUAGCAAAUAUUUUAUAACAUCACAGGCUCCAAACUCAUAACAAAAUUAACAAUCAUAAAAUAUUUGAAAAAGAAUAAAAAAAAACACUCAAAUAUUUUUGAUUGAUGUAGUCAGAAGUAGCUGAUUAAGAUUAUCAUAUAUGAAUAAUAUCAGUAAUAAUCCGUCAAUUUUUUCAUCAUUCAACAACAUCAUCACAAGUUAAAAUAAAACAUUUAAUUCAAAAAAGAAAAAAUUGUAUCUAUCUCGUCACCGGAAAAUCCCGUAGAAAAGGAUAUCAGGAGCUAAAGAUAGAGUGCACGCAUAAUUUACACGUGCACGUGUAAAACAAACAUUACUAUUGCCUAAUGAUAGAUUCCUUGACAUACAUAUCGAUGACCAAAGAAUUGCAAUA
rnacentral:lncRNA from 1 species